rnacentral:misc_RNA from 1 species
GUGAAUCAUCGAAUCUUUGAACGCACAUUGCACUUUCUGGUAUUCCGGAAAGUAUGCCUGUUUGAGGGUCAGAUAAAUCAAAAUCGGUUUUGUUGCUGCUUUUCGUGGUGACGCGUCGGAACUCAGUCGUCUUACCUUAGGUUAAGUGACUUACAAUUUUGCAUGAUUUUCGAACGUAUUUCAAUUUCUUCCGUACGUUUGAGAUCUCGCCUACUUUAUUAGGUUCGGUCAUCCUCAUGAUUCGCA